CGGUAUUCUGACCGUGCAAAGGUAGCGCAAUCAUUUGUCUUUUAAAUAAAGACCCGUAUGAAAGGCAAAGCGAGGGCUUUACUGUCUCCUUUUUCUAGUCAAUGAAAUUGAACCCCCCGUGAAGAAGCGGGGAUUCUUCCAUAAGACGAGAAGACCCUGUGGAGCUUCAGACACAUGAACAGAUCACGUCAAAACCCCCUUACAAAGGAAUGACUAAACGAACCCUGUUUAAAUGUCUUCGGUUGGGGCGACCACGGUGGAACUACAAAACCCCCGCGUGGAACGAGAGCACCCCGCUCCCACAACUAAGAGCUACCGCUCAAAUAAGCACAAUCUCUGACCAUCAAGAUCCGGCAAUGCCGAUCAACGAACCAAGUUACCCCAGGGAUAACAGCGCAAUCCUCUUUCAGAGUUCAUAUCGACAAGAGGGUUUACGACCUCGAUGUUGGAUCAGGACAUCCCAAUGGUGCAGCCGCUAUUAAAGGUUCGUU
rnacentral:rRNA from 1 species